rnacentral:rRNA from 1 species
UACGGGGGGGGCAAGCGUUGUUCGGAAUUACUGGGCGUAAAGGGCUCGUAGGCGGCCAACUAAGUCAGACGUGAAAUCCCUCGGCUUAACCGGGGAACUGCAUCUGAUACUGGAUGGCUUGAGUUCGGGAGAGGGAUGCGGAAUUCCUGGUGUAGCGGUGAAAUGCGCAGAUAUCAGGAGGAACACCGAUGGCGAAGGCAGCUUACUGGGCCGAAACUGACGCUGAGGAGCGAAAGCGUGGGGAGCGAACAGG